rnacentral:rRNA from 1 species
CCUACGGGAGGCAGCAGUGGGGGAUAUUGCACAAUGGGGGAAACCCUGAUGCAGCGACGCCGCGUGAGUGAAGAAGUACUUCGGUUUGUAAAGCUCUAUCAGCAGGGAAGAAAAUGACGGUAGUUGACCAAGAAGCUCCUGCGAACUACGUUCCAGCAGCCGCGGUAAUACGGAGUGGGCAAGCGUUCUCCGGAUGUACUGGGUGUAAAGGGAGCGUAGAUGGUGGUGUAAGUCAGCAGUGAAAGCCCGGGGCCCAACCCCGGGACUGCUUUGGAAACUAUGAAACGGGAGUACAGGAGGGGAAGGCGGAAUUCCUGGUGUAGCGGUGGAAUGCGUAGAUAUCAGGAGGAACACCGGGGGCGAAGGCGGCCUGCUGGACUGAAACUGACGUUGAGGCUCGAAAGCGUGGGGAGCAAACAGGAUUAGAUACCCGGGUAGUC